UACGUAGGGGGCUAGCGUUAUCCGGAAUGAUUGGGCGUAAAGCGUCCGCAGGUGGCUAUGUAAGUCUGCUGUUAAAGAGUCUAGCUCAACUAGAUAAGAGCAGUGGAAACUACAAGGCUAGAGUACGUUCGGGGCAGAGGGAAUUCCUGGUGUAGCGGUGAAAUGCGUAGAGAUCAGGAAGAACACCAGUGGCGAAGGCGCUCUGCUAGGCCGUAACUGACACUGAGGGACGAAAGCUAGGGGAGCGAAUGGG
rnacentral:rRNA from 1 species